rnacentral:rRNA from 1 species
GACGUAGGGCGCGAGCGUUGUCCGGAUUUAUUGGGCGUAAAGAGCUCGUAGGCGGUUUGGUAAGUCUGGUGUGAAAUCUCCACGCUCAACGUGGAGGGGCCACCCGAUACUGCCAUGACUGGAGUCCGGUAGAGGAGUGUGGAAUUCCCGGUGUAGCGGUGAAAUGCGCAGAUAUCGGGAGGAACACCCGUAGCGAAGGCGGCACUCUGGGCCGGUACUGGACGCUGAGGAGCGAAAGCGUGGGGAGCAAACAGG